rnacentral:rRNA from 1 species
UGGGGGAUAUUGCACAAUGGGCGAAAGCCUGAUGCAGCGACGCCGCGUGGGGGAUGAAGGCCUUCGGGUUGUAAACUUCUUUUGCUCUGAACAAGGCAUGCUUUUGGGGUGUGUUGAGUGUAGGGGUUGAUUAGCGCCGGCUAACUACGUGCCAGCAGCCGCGGUAAUACGUAGGGCGCGAGCGUUGUCCGGAAUUAUUGGGCGUAAAGGGCUUGUAGGUGGCUGGGUGCGUCUGUCGUGAAAGCUCAUGGCUUAACUGUGGGUUUGCGGUGGGUACGGGCUGGCUUGAGUGCAGUAGGGGAGGCUGGAAUUCCUGGUGUAGCGGUGGAAUGCGCAGAUAUCAGGAGGAAUACCGGUGGCGAAGGCGGGUCUCUGGGCUGUUACUGACGCUGAGGAGCGAAAGCGUGGGGAGCGAACAGG